rnacentral:rRNA from 1 species
UAUCAGAGGGGGAUAACCCGGCGAAAGUCGGACUAAUACCGCAUGAAGCAGGGGCCCCGCAUGGGGAUAUUUGCUAAAGAUUCAUCGCUGAUAGAUAGGCAUGCGUUCCAUUAGGCAGUUGGCGGGGUAACGGCCCACCAAACCGACGAUGGAUAGGGGUUCUGAGAGGAAGGUCCCCCACAUUGGUACUGAGACACGGACCAAACUCCUACGGGAG